rnacentral:rRNA from 1 species
GACCAACGCUGGCGGUAUGCCUAACACAUGCAAGUCGAACGGACAGAACAGGGAAGCUUUUCGGAGUGGAACUGGAAAGUUAGUGGCGGAUGGGUGAGUAACGCGUGGACAACCUACCUUGUAAAGGGGAAUAACCUCGAGAAAUCGAAGCUAAUACCCCAUAAUAACCUUGCUUCGCAUGAAGUAAGGAGGAAAGGCGGCCUUAGCGCUGUCGAUACAAGAUGGGUCCGCGUCUGAUUAGCUAGUUGGUGAGGUAAAGGCUCACCAAGGCGACGAUCAGUAGCCGGCCUGAGAGGGUGAACGGCCACAUUGGGACUGAGACACGGCCCAAACUCCUACGGGAGGCAGCAGUGGGGAAUCUUCCGCAAUGGGCGAAAGCCUGACGGAGCAAUGCCGCGUGAGUGAAGAAGGCCUUCGGGUUGUAAAACUCUGUCCUUAUCGAAGAGAGAGUGUUGUAGUAACUGACAAUACUAGGACGGUAGAUGAGGAGGAAGCCCCGGCUAACUAUGUG